UGCCAGAGUAACACAGAAGAAGCAGCAGCCAUGACGGAGCAGCAAGAGUGUGAAUGGCGACUUCGCAGCGGGCCAUAUCUUGGAGAAAUCUCCGCUCUUUGUUUCCUUCGUUUACCUUCUCACUUCUCUUCUCUCCCUUAUCUCCUUGCUGGGACGGGUUCGCAAAUGCUGCUAUAUGAUUUAGAAGCGGUUAAGAUAAUAGGGUCGUUUCAAGUGUUUCAAGGAAUUCGUGUGCAUGGAAUUACUUGUGGGUUCAUUGAUUACUCAAAAGGAUCGUCUUCUACAAGAAUCACUUUUAAAGUUGUCGUCUUUGGCGAAAAGAGAGUGAAGCUGUUUAACUUGCAUAUUGAAACGGCAUUAAAGUUUCAAAAUCAACCAGAAGUUUUUGCAGAUUUAGCUUUAAUUCAUUCCUUGCCUAAGUUUAGCCAUUGGGUCUUGGAUGUUUCCUUUUUGAAGAAUGGUGCAACCUCUAAACACGAGGAGGGAAGGCACAGCAUUGCCAUUGGAUGUAGUGAUAAUUCGGUCAGGAUAUGGGAUAUUUCAGAAUCGAGUAUGAUUCUUGAAGUUCAAUCUCCAGAAAGGUGCCUUUUGUAUUCCAUGCGGCUGUGUGGUAAUAAUGUGGAAUCUUUACGAAUCGCCUCUGGUACAAUAUACAAUGAGAUCAUUAUUUGGAAACUAGUUCCUCAACAAGAUGCUCUGCCUUUGACAAGUACCAUGGAAGAUAGCAUGCAUUUAAACAAUUCAAACUCAGACUCUUUCAAUCUUUAUUACUGGCAACAUAAAGCGGCCCAUAUAAGUAGACUUAUUGGACAUGAAGGUUCAAUAUUUCGCAUAAUAUGGUCCGCUGAUGGAUCCAAACUGGUUUCAGUCUCUGAUGAUCGCAGUGCUCGUAUCUGGGCAGUUAAUGCUGAACAAGAAGAUUCCAAUGACCAAGAAAAGGAGACUGCUUGCUCUGUGUUAUUCGGUCAUAAUGCUAGGGUUUGGGACUGCUGUAUAUCUGAUUCUUUAAUUGUCACUGCUGGUGAGGAUUGUACAUGCCGUGUGUGGGGAUUUGAUGGUAAACAGCUUAAGAUGAUCAAGGAACAUAUAGGGCGAGGUGUAUGGAGAUGUUUGUAUGAUCCAAACUCUUCGCUUCUCAUUACUGCUGGAUUUGAUUCUGCAAUCAAAGUGCAUCAACUGCCUGCUGCUUUUCCACAUAGCUUGGAAGGACAAAGUCAACCAGAACAGUUCAUUGACAGAACAGAGAUAUUUACUAGUCGACUCCCAAAUUCAUCUGAACAUAUUGGUCUCAUGGACAGUAAAAGUGAAUAUGUACGAUGCUUGCAUUUCACAUCUGAAGAUGCCCUUUACGUUGCCACAAACAAUGGUUAUCUGUAUCAUGCUAAAUUGUUUGAGACAGAGAAUGUGAAAUGGACUAAACUUAUCCAGGUCAAUGAAAAGGUACCAAUCAUUUGUAUGGAUUUGCUGACUAAAAGCUUUCCCAAGCAUUCCCUUGGUAUUGAUAACUGGGUUGCUUUGGGAGAUGGUAAAGGAAACGCGACAGUCGCCAGAGUUACGGGUGAUGUUAGUACUCCUAUCAUGGACUUCACUUUUACUUGGUCAGCUGGAAAAGAGAGACAACUAUUGGGGACCUAUUGGUCUAAGGCAUUGGGAUAUAGGUUCAUUUUUACUGCUGAUCCUAGAGGAGUUUUGAAGCUGUGGAAGUUACAGGAUCCUUUGCUCCCUAUCUCUCACACUUCUGCAAGAACUUUUGAUGUGUCCCUUAUAGCAGAAUUCACAUCAUGUUUUGGAACUAGGAUAAUGUGCUUAGACGCAUUUCCUGAAGAUGAGGUUCUGGUUUGUGGGGAUCUCCGUGGUAAUCUGGUUCUAUUUCCUUUGUUAAAGAGCUUGUUGCUGGAAACACCUGCUGCACCAGGAAUAAAAAUAUCUCCACUUAGUUACUUUAAAGGGGCUCAUGGGAUAUCAAGUAUAACCAGCAUUUCUGUAUCUAAAUUAAGCUCCUGUGGAAUUGAAUUAUGCUCGACUGGAGCUGAUGGUUGUGUAUGCUCUUUUGAAUUUGACCAAGAUCAACGAAGCUUAGAGUUUAUAGGAAUGAAACAAGUGAAAGGAUUGAGUUUGAUUAAGUCUGUCUCUGUCGAUAACAACUCCCCUCAUGGUUUAGCAAACUGUGGCUAUGCAAUUGGUUUUACAUCAACAGAUUUCAUAAUCUGGAACUUAACAACCGAGGCAAAGGUCUUGCAAAUUUCCUGCGGUGGAUGGCGACGUCCUCAUUCUUAUUAUCUUGGCAAUAUACCAGAGAUGGACACUUGUUUUGCAUAUGUCAAGGAUGAGAUGAUAUAUAUUCAUCGACAACGGGUACCGGAACGUGAGAGGAGAAUAUUUCCCCAGAAUUUGCACAUCCAGUUCCAUGGGAGAGAGAUGCAUUCCUUAUGUUUUGUAUCUGAAAAUGCACGAAUUCAAGUAAAUGGGAAGAAUGCUCUUUUUGACAAAUCUAGCUGGAUUGCUACUGGGUGUGAAGAUGGAACUGUGAGGUUGACUAGGUACACUCCAAGAGUUGAGAGCUGGUCUACGUCGAAAUUGCUUGGGGAGCAUGUUGGUGGAUCAGCAGUGAGAUCAAUAUGCUUUGUGUCUAAGAUGCACAUAAUUCCUUCAGAUGUGACCAACUUGUUUGACUGGAGCAAUCAAAAAAAUGCUUUAACUGAGGACAGGGAUAAUCCGUUUUUACUACUCUCUGUUGGUGCAAAGCGGGUUCUAACUUCUUGGUUGCUGAGAGAUAGAGAGCUAGAUGAGAACGGAAACCCAUUUGUGGAACAAGAACAAAACAAAAACGGAAAUGAGGUACCGUGUAUGGGUGCAUCCUCUUCAAUGUCAUUCAAGUGGCUUUCCACUGACAUGCCUACCAAAAAUUCUAGUACUCAGAGAAGAACAAAAAAUUUUGCGAAAAUAGGAGGAAUGACUGAAAACGUUGCUAGAAUGGAAUCAGAUGGCAAAUCUAGAUCUCUUUUACAAGAACAAGGGGAGGUAGCAUCAAAAGUUUGCCUUGAUGAUAAAGAUGAAGAUGACUGGAGAUAUCUGGCUGUCACUGCUUUUCUUGUGAAGUGUACUGGCUCCAGGUUAACUGUCUGUUUUAUUGUUGUGGCCUGUUCAGAUGCUACCCUAGCAUUGCGAGCUCUUGUCUUACCUCAUCGGUUAUGGUUUGAUGUUGCUGUAUUGGUUCCUCUAUCAUCACCAGUUUUGGCAUUGCAGCAUGUUAUCUUUCCUGAGCACCUGCCUUCUGGAGGAGACACUUGGAUUGGAAAUGUGUACAUUGUGAUAAGUGGGGCAACUGAUGGAAGUAUUGCCCUUUGGGAUCUAACUGACAGUAUUGAAUCUUUUAUGAGGCUGUUGUCAACCCUUGACGAACAAAAGCUCAUAAGUAGUCAGACACGGCCACGCACAGGAAGAGGAAGUCAGGGUGGUCGAUGGUGGAGAUCAUUAAGCAGCAAACCUAAGAAAAAAUUACCUGUUGGUUCAGUUGCUCCUAGAGUUGAAGACAGGACUAACUGCAAUUCGGUUGACCAUGCUAUGAGUGAAGCAUCAACAAGUGAUCCUUUAGGCUGUACAACAUUUUGUGCUCAAGUUAUGCCUGAUAAACCUCUUGAGCCAGAAAUGAAAACUGUUAAUUCUACGCCUGAGAUAUGUGAAAUACAGCCUUUGCAUGUUCUCAGUAGUAUUCACCAAUCUGGUGUCAAUUGUCUUCAUGUUUCAGACAUACGGGACCCUUGCAGUUGCGACUCUAAUUUCUUUUUCAGUGUAAUAAGUGGAGGCGAUGAUCAAUCCCUUCACUGUCUCAAAUUUGAUUUGUCAAUUUGCAGGGAUUCUGAGAUCAUCACACCAGAGGUCAUAAAUUUAUUCGGCAGACCAGAGAGUAUAAAGAAUUCUAUUCAUUUAAGUCAAUGUCAGGACAAGAAGUACAGAAUCAGAUUCUUGUAUCACGAUAGAAUCUCCUCAGCUCAUAGUUCUGCCAUAAAAGAUUGGAAGUUGUUUUAUCUCAUGAAGGUGUUUGGACAGAUGGUACAUGGGUAUUUUCUACUGGGCUUGAUCAGCGUAUCAGAUGCUGGGCUGUUAAGGAUCACUGUAAAUUGAUUGAGAAAACUCACUUAAUCAUUAGUGUCCCUGAGCCAGAAGCAUUAUGUGCCAGAGCCUGUGAGAGAAACCGAUACGAAAUUGCAGUGGCUGGAAGGGGGAUGCAGAUGGUCGAGUUUGUGGCAUCCUAGUCAUGGAUGAUAGAAGACAUGGUAGUGGCAAUUUUGUCCUAAGCAAGUCAAACAAUUCGACAUUGAAGUUAGUUACCUCAUAUCAUAUGCAACUAGUGCAUAUUAAUCUUAGAGAUGUUACUUGUUACUGACGAAUUGACACCCUAUGAUCUGUGAGGAAUGGGGCGUCCAAAAUUACAUAUUUGUUCGAGUAGUUAUCAGAUUUAGAAUUCUUUUUGUACUAUUACAAUUAUGCAGAGAUUUUGUUUUUACCCGCGGCCGGUGGAAUUCUGAUGGAGAAGCAACACACAAUUGCAUCAAACCCUAAUUGGAUUUGAUGGUUGAAAUUCUUUUGAGACUGUAGUGAACUCUCUUACUUUGUGGGUUCGUAAUAGAAUUGUAAUUUAGGAAACAACAUUUUAUAUACUAUAGAUGCACCGUUCUUGGCAUAA